rnacentral:rRNA from 1 species
GGUUAAGCGACUAAGCGUACACGGUGGAUGCCCUGGCAGUCAGAGGCGAUGAAGGGCGUGCUAAUCUGCGAUAAGCGCCGGUAAGGUGAUAUGAACCGUUAUAACCGGCGAUACCCGAAUGGGGAAACCCAGUGUGAUUCGUCACACUAUCAUUAACUGAAUCCAUAGGUUAAUGAGGCGAACCGGGGGAACUGAAACAUCUAAGUACCCCGAGGAAAAGAAAUCAACCGAGAUUCCCCCAGUAGCGGCGAGCGAACGGGGAGGAGCCCAGAGCCUGAAUCAGCAUGUGUGUUAGUGGAAGCGUCUGGAAAGGCGCGCGAUACAGGGUGACAGCCCCGUACACAAAAGCGCAUGUGCUGUGAGCUCGAUGAGUAGGGCGGGACACGUGGUAUCCUGUCUGAAUAUGGGGGGACCAUCCUCCAAGGCUAAAUACUCCUGACUGACCGAUAGUGAACCAGUACCGUGAGGGAAAGGCGAAAAGAACCCCGGCGAGGGGAGUGAAAAAGAACCUGAAACCGUGUACGUACAAGCAGUGGGAGCACAGGUUUACCUGUGUGACUGCGUACCUUUUGUAUAAUGGGUCAGCGACUUAUAUUCUGUAGCAAGGUUAACCGAAUAGGGGAGCCGGAGGGAAACCGAGUCUUAAUUGGGCGUUAAGUUGCAGGGUAUAGACCCGAAACCCGGUGAUCUAGCCAUGGGCAGGUUGAAGGUUGGGUAACACUAACUGGAGGACCGAACCGACUAAUGUUGAAAAAUUAGCGGAUGACCUGUGGCUGGGGGUGAAAGGCCAAUCAAACCGGGAGAUAGCUGGUUCUCCCCGAAAGCUAUUUAGGUAGCGCCUCGUGAAUUCAUCUCCGGGGGUAGAGCACUGUUUCGGCUAGGGGGCCAUCCCGGCUUACCAACCCGAUGCAAACUGCGAAUACCGGAGAAUGUUAUCACGGGAGACACACGGCGGGUGCUAACGUCCGUCGUGAAGAGGGAAACAACCCAGACCGCCAGCUAAGGUCCCAAAGUCAUGGUUAAGUGGGAAACGAUGUGGGAAGGCCCAGACAGCCAGGAUGUUGGCUUAGAAGCAGCCAUCAUUUAAAGAAAGCGUAAUAGCUCACUGGUCGAGUCGGCCUGCGCGGAAGAUGUAACGGGGCUAAACCAUGCACCGAAGCUGCGGCAGCGAACGUAUCACUUAAAGCGAUUCAGCGGGUUACGAUUGACGGAGCGAAGCGACGUCAAAGCGUAUACAAAGUCGAGUCGGUUUAAGGAUACGUUCGUUGGGUAGGGGAGCGUUCUGUAAGCCUGUGAAGGUGGCCUGUGAGGGUUGCUGGAGGUAUCAGAAGUGCGAAUGCUGACAUAAGUAACGAUAAAGCGGGUGAAAAGCCCGCUCGCCGGAAGACCAAGGGUUCCUGUCCAACGUUAAUCGGGGCAGGGUGAGUCGACCCCUAAGGCGAGGCCGAAAGGCGUAGUCGAUGGGAAACGGGUUAAUAUUCCCGUACUUGGUGUUACUGCGAAGGGGGGACGGAGAAGGCUAUGUUGGCCGGGCGACGGUUGUCCCGGUUUAAGCGUGUAGGUGUGUGUUCCAGGUAAAUCCGGUUCACUUUAACACUGAGGCGUGACGACGAGGCACUACGGUGCUGAAGCAACAAAUGCCCUGCUUCCAGGAAAAGCCUCUAAGCAUCAGGUAACAUCAAAUCGUACCCCAAACCGACACAGGUGGUCAGGUAGAGAAUACCAAGGCGCUUGAGAGAACUCGGGUGAAGGAACUAGGCAAAAUGGUGCCGUAACUUCGGGAGAAGGCACGCUGACACGUAGGUGAAGUGAUUUACUCACGGAGCUGAAGUCAGUCGAAGAUACCAGCUGGCUGCAACUGUUUAUUAAAAACACAGCACUGUGCAAACACGAAAGUGGACGUAUACGGUGUGACGCCUGCCCGGUGCCGGAAGGUUAAUUGAUGGGGUCAGCGCAAGCGAAGCUCCUGAUCGAAGCCCCGGUAAACGGCGGCCGUAACUAUAACGGUCCUAAGGUAGCGAAAUUCCUUGUCGGGUAAGUUCCGACCUGCACGAAUGGCGUAAUGAUGGCCAGGCUGUCUCCACCCGAGACUCAGUGAAAUUGAACUCGCUGUGAAGAUGCAGUGUACCCGCGGCAAGACGGAAAGACCCCGUGAACCUUUACUAUAGCUUGACACUGAACAUUGAGCCUUGAUGUGUAGGAUAGGUGGGAGGCUUUGAAGUGUGGACGCCAGUCUGCAUGGAGCCGACCUUGAAAUACCACCCUUUAAUGUUUGAUGUUCUAACGUGGACCCGUAAUCCGGGUUGCGGACAGUGUCUGGUGGGUAGUUUGACUGGGGCGGUCUCCUCCUAAAGAGUAACGGAGGAGCACGAAGGUUGGCUAAUCCUGGUCGGACAUCAGGAGGUUAGUGCAAUGGCAUAAGCCAGCUUGACUGCGAGCGUGACGGCGCGAGCAGGUGCGAAAGCAGGUCAUAGUGAUCCGGUGGUUCUGAAUGGAAGGGCCAUCGCUCAACGGAUAAAAGGUACUCCGGGGAUAACAGGCUGAUACCGCCCAAGAGUUCAUAUCGACGGCGGUGUUUGGCACCUCGAUGUCGGCUCAUCACAUCCUGGGGCUGAAGUAGGUCCCAAGGGUAUGGCUGUUCGCCAUUUAAAGUGGUACGCGAGCUGGGUUUAGAACGUCGUGAGACAGUUCGGUCCCUAUCUGCCGUGGGCGCUGGAGAACUGAGGGGGGCUGCUCCUAGUACGAGAGGACCGGAGUGGACGCAUCACUGGUGUUCGGGUUGUCAUGCCAAUGGCACUGCCCGGUAGCUAAAUGCGGAAGAGAUAAGUGCUGAAAGCAUCUAAGCACGAAACUUGCCCCGAGAUGAGUUCUCCCUGAGACUUUAGGUCUCCUGAAGGAACGUUGAAGACGACGACGUUGAUAGGCCGGGUGUGUAAGCGCAGCGAUGCGUUGAGCUAACCGGUACUAAUGAACCGUGAGGCUUAACCUU